rnacentral:rRNA from 1 species
CCUACGGGAGGCAGCAGUGAGGAAUAUUGGUCAAUGGACGAGAGUCUGAACCAGCCAAGUAGCGUGAAGGAUGACUGCCCUAUGGGUUGUAAACUUCUUUUAUAUGGGAAUAAAAUGUUCCACGUGUGGGAUUUUGUAUGUACCAUAUGAAUAAGGAUCGGCUAACUCCGUGCCAGCAGCCGCGGUAAUACGGAGGAUCCGAGCGUUAUCCGGAUUUAUUGGGUUUAAAGGGAGCUUAGGUGGAUUGUUAAGUCAGUUGUGAAAGUUUGCGGCUCAACCGUAAAAUUGCAGUUGAAACUGGCAGUCUUGAGUACAGUAGAGGUGGGCGGAAUUCGUGGUGUAGCGGUGAAAGGCUUAGAUAUCACGAAGAACUCCGAUUGCGAAGGCAGCUCACUGGACUGCAACUGACACUGAGGCUCGAAAGUGUGGGUAUCAAACAGGAUGAGAUACCCGUGUAGUC